rnacentral:rRNA from 1 species
AUUGAACGCUGGCGGAAUGCUUUACACAUGCAAGUCGAACGGCAGCACGGACUUCGGUCUGGUGGCGAGUGGCGAACGGGUGAGUAAUGUAUCGGAACGUGCCCAGUCGUGGGGGAUAACGUAGUGAAAAUUACGCUAAUACCGCAUACGAUCUAUGGAUGAAAGCGGGGGAUCGCAAGACCUCGCGCGAUUGGAGCGGCCGAUAUCAGAUUAGGUAGUUGGUGGGGUAAAGGCCCACCAAGCCAACGAUCUGUAGCUGGUCUGAGAGGACGACCAGCCACACUGGGACUGAGACACGGCCCAGACUCCUACGGGAGGCAGCAGUGGGGAAUUUUGGACAAUGGGCGAAUGCCUGAUCCAGCCAUGCCGCGUGCAGGAUGAAGGCCUUCGGGUUGUAAGCUGCUUUUGUACGGAACGAAAAGGUUUGGCCUAAUAAGCUGAGCUCAUGACGGUACCGUAAGAAUAAGCACCGGCUAACUACGUGCCAGCAGCCGCGGUAA